rnacentral:rRNA from 1 species
AAGCUCGUAGUUGAAUUUCGGGGUUAGUAGGUUGGUCAUGCCUCUGGUAUGUACUGGUCUCACUGAUUCCUCCUUCCUUAUGAACCGUAAUGCCAUUAAUUUGGUGUUGCGGGGAAUUUGGACUGUUACUUUGAAAAAAUUGAGUGUUUAAAGCAAGCUAACGCUUGAAUACAUUAGCAUGGAAUAAUAAAAUAGGACGUUCGAUCUUAUUUUGUUGGUUUCUAGGAUUGACGUAAUGAUUAAUAGGGAUAGUUGGG